rnacentral:rRNA from 1 species
AGUGAACGCUGGCGGCAGGCCUAACACAUGCAAGUCGAGCGGCAGCGCGGGGGCAACCCUGGCGGCGAGCGGCGGACGGGUGAGGAAUUCGUCGGAAUCUGCCUUUUUGUGGGGGAUAACGUAGGGAAACUUACGCUAAUACCGCAUACGUCCUACGGGAGAAAGUGGGGGACCGCAAGGCCUCACGCAGAAAGAUGAGCCGACGACCGAUUAGCUAGUUGGUGGGGUAAAGGCCCACCAAGGCGACGAUCGGUAGCUGGUCUGAGAGGAUGAUCAGCCACACUGGGACUGAGACACGGCCCAGACUCCUACGGGAGGCAGCAGUGGGGAAUAUUGGACAAUGGGCGCAAGCCUGAUCCAGCCAUGCCGCGUGUGUGAAGAAGGCCUUCGGGUUGUAAAGCACUUUUGUCCGGAAAGAAAUCCCUGGAGCUAAUACCUUCGGAGGAUGACGGUACCGGAAGAAUAAGCACCGGCUAACUUCGUG